GCCCUCGCCAAAGCUGCGUUUCUUUGCUCACAAACAGACACCGGGCCCCGCUCGGAUGUCCUCGUAUGCAAAUGAGAAAUUCGGAGUAAUCUUCAACUUCACCCGCCAUCGCCUGGGCUCGCCCCGGGCGCGCUGGCAGCUGCCCGUGAGGGCCUGGCGUGAAUACGCUUGCACCCGGCAUCAGAAAACACAGGGCCAGCCGGCGGCGCUAUCUUCGGGUGGCGCUUGCGCAGGUCUGUACCCCUAUGGGAGUCGGUGCGAAGAUUGUGUGCAUGCGACAGCGUGCGACACUUUAGUGCAAUACGCAGCGUACCGUAUUCCGGUAUCAUUCGAUUCCGAUUACUCUGGCGAGGGC
rnacentral:RNase_P_RNA from 2 species